AUGCACGCUUCGUGUGACUCUCACUGGGCCCUGGUGAAGCGUAUCCUUCAUUAUAUAUGCGGCACCCCGUCCAUGGGACUUACGCUGACGGCCUCCGCCUCCACCGACCUCGUCGCCUACUUUGAUGCGGACUGGGCUGGCUGCCCGGACACACGACGCUCCACCUCGGGGUACUGUGUCUACCUUGGACCGUCCCUAAUCUCUUGGUCAUCCAAACGACAUCCCACAGUCUCCCGCUCGAGUGCCGAGGCAGAGUAUCUGGCUGUGGCUAACGCCGUUGCUGAAUGCUUUUGGCUUCGUCAGCUGCUUCAGGAGUUGCUUUGUGAUGUUCACAAGGCCACGCUCAUCUACUGCGACAACGUUUAUGCCGUCUACCUCUCCGCCAACCCAGUCCAUCAUUAUUGA
rnacentral:rRNA from 1 species